CCUACGGGAGGCAGCAGUGGGGAAUAUUGCACAAUGGGGGAAACCCUGAUGCAGCGACGCCGCGUGAAGGAAGAAGUAUUUCGGUAUGUAAACUUCUAUCAGCAGGGAAGAAAAUGACGGUACCUGACUAAGAAGCCCCGGCUAACUACGUGCCAGCAGCCGCGGUAAUACGUAGGGGGCAAGCGUUAUCCGGAUUUACUGGGGGUAAAGGGAGCGUAGGCGGUUUAGCAAGUCAGAAGUGAAAGCCCGGGGCUAAACUCCGGGACUGCUUUUGAAAAUGUUGAACUAGAGUGCAGGGGAGGUAAGUGGAAUUCCUAGUGUAGCGGUGAAAUGCGUAGAUAUUAGGAGGAACACCAGUGGCGAAGGCGGCUUACUGGACUGUAAAUGACGCUGAGGCUCGAAAGCGUGGGGAGCAAACAGGAUUAGAUACCCGAGUAGUC
rnacentral:rRNA from 1 species